rnacentral:rRNA from 1 species
CCUACGGGCGGCAGCAGUGGGGAAUAUUGCACAAUGGGGGAAACCCUGAUGCAGCGACGCCGCGUGAGUGAAGAAGUAUUUCGGUAUGUAAAGCUCUGUCAGCAGGGAAGAAAAUGACGGUACCUGACCAAGAAGCCCCGGCUAACUACGUGCCAGCAGCCGCGGUUAUACGUAGGCGGCAGGCGUUAUCCGGAUUUACUGGGUGUAAAGGGAGCGUAGACGGCAGGGCAAGUCAGGAGUGAAAGGCUGGGGCUCAACCCCCGGAUUGGUGUGGAAACUGGCAGGCUGGAGUGCAGGAGAGGUAAGUGGAAUUCGUAGUGUAGCGGUGAAAUGCGUAGAUAUUAGGAGGAACACCAGUGGCGAAGGCGGCUUACUGGACUGUAACUGACGUUGAGGCUCGAAAGCGUGGGGAGCAAACAGGAUUAGAUACCCGAGUAGUC